AGUGAACGCUGGCGGCGUGCCUAAUACAUGCAAGUCGAACGGAGUGGCGCACGGGUUGGUAAUGUAUAGCUAAUCUGCCCUACACUAGAGGCCAACAGUUGGAAACGACUUCUAAUAAUCUAUAGUGUAGGAUGUGGCUAUAUUGUAUAAGCUAGUUGGUGAGGUAAUGGCUAACCAAGGCUAUGACGCAUAACUGGUCUGAGAGGAUGAUCAGUCACACUGGAAGUGAGGCACGGUCCAGACACCUACGGGAGGGAGCAGUAGGGAAUAUGGCUCAAGGGGGGAAACCCUGAAGCAGCAACGCAGCGUGGAGGAUGACACUUUUCGGAGAGUAAACUCCUUAUGUUAGGGAAGCGGUACCUAACGAAUAAGCACCGGCUAACUCCGUGCCAGCAGCCGCGGUAAUAC
rnacentral:rRNA from 1 species